UUUUGGUGCCAGUACCAUGCUGUUUUGGUUACUGUAGCUUUCUAGUAUACAAGCCUUGUAGCUCUCUUCUGCCAGGUAUUUCCCUGUCUCCUGUCUUUACCACCUGUACCACGUGAACAGGUGGUGACCUAUGUUGCCACAAGGCUACCUCCUUUGCGUCUUCUGUGAUCUGCUUUGUUGUUUUGUCUCCAGGAGAAGCCAGUCACUGGGGAAGGAGGAGGGAAGUGGAUCCCAGCCGACUCCGCUUCAUGUGCAGCCCCACUCAGCAGAUGUCCUCCACUGCCCACGUCUGGCGUGCUUCUCUCUUCUGUUCAGUGCAGUUAGGGCUUUUCCCACUGAGAUGUGUUAGCCACCACAGAGUCUCAUAUAUAAAUUCACAGGCCUCCUUGGCAAAGAAUGUCCCUGCUUCCUUUGAACACAAAGUUUUCAGUCUUGAACCACCUGGACUGUGAGCCCCAUGAAGGUGGAGUGUGAGCUGACUCUGUAGCCGGCAGCCCCCAGGGGACAGGGUCAGUGGGCAGAGCCCACUGCUAUGUUGAGAGAAGACAGAAAACCCUGUCUGGGUCCCAUCUCUCCAGUCAACAAACAGCAGAUUUUUAAGUACAAAUGUCCUCCCUGCCUCUUGCCCUCUUUGGCAAAGUACAGAGAUUCUAGAAGCCUGAACAGGAGGGUAACGUUUCCUGGCAGCAUGGACUACUCCUGACCUGACCAAGCGAUGGCCUAGGUGACAGGGCCCAGCUCUUUUGGAGGUUGGAGUGUGAAGCCACUGAGAUUUGACAAGAUGAAGAGAUGUUGCAUGAAGGAUGGGAAAAUGGAAAAAUGUACGAGGCCAUAGAAGUCAAAGAUUGGAAGCCAAGAAGAACAAAUGGAAGUACUUGGUAGAAAAAUGGAAACAGAGCAAAAGGUGGAGUCCACCGCCCUUCCCCUAGAGACGGGCUGGCUGGAGAAACCAUGUCAAGAAAGAGGGACCCUAAGAAUGAGCCUCCACAAGCAAACAGAAGCCUUGGAAGAUGAAAGACCAUGAGUAGAGAGAGGCCCCGCUGAGGGCAGACAUCUGAGUGAGGCCAUCUGGGGUCUUCCAGAGGAGAGAACCCAUGCAAUAUGUAUGAAAGGGGGAUAAGCAUCCUUGCCAAGCCCUGCCCAGCCAACCCACAGAACUGUUUGAUAACAUUAACCUGAUGCCUAGAGUCUCAGAAGAAACCAGUUUUGGGGGUCAGUGGGACUCAGAAACUAACCUCUUUCUAAACUUCACACACAAACAGAAGGUGUUUUUCCCUUGGAGGCCAGAGCUCUGGGGAGUGGGGAUGGGAGAUGUGGCCACCUCUGCCAUGAAUGUACCCCUCCCUGCACUGCCCACUGGUGUUGGGGAAAUCUAAGGUCCAUACAUAAGAAGCUUUGGUUCCUGGAUGUUUUCUGUGAAUGGAUUACCCAGAAUAGGAUUUUUCCAGAUUUGCAGGCUCAAAUGAGACGCCUUACAGGUUGGCUCCAGAGCAAGAGUUCUCUGGAAAAGAAGGAAUCAUAAUCCUUUGAUAAUAUUUUCGUAACAGCCACUAGAGGAAGUUUUCAGAGAGUAAUAAAUCGUGCGUUCUCAUUUAUAUAAAACCUUUUACUCCUAGCUUGGAGCACUAUCUCAACUUUUUACUAACUAGCAAUUUUACUAACAAAUUGAGUAAAUCAUUUAGCUUCUCAGCCUCAGCUUUCUUAUCUAUAAAAUCAAGAUAGCAAUAGUUAACAUCUCCUGGAGUUGUUUGAGACUUCAAAUAAAUGAUAUACUUAAGGCACUUUGAAGACUGCUUGGUGGGUAGAUCGCUGAGCCCAGGGCUCAGUGGGUGCUUGAUGAAUGGCUGCUUUCAUUAUUUCUGCACCAGUGCAAUCUAUCUGCCUCUCUUCUUGACGUUUGCUCCAUUUCCCAGACCCAAUGUUCAUCUAUUUCUUGGACUAAAGUUCAGUUUUACCUAGCCUCAAAAGUCAAUUCUGCUUUCAAGUCCAGCCAUAGAUCCUAGGUUCCAUGACCCCAGGCAGUACCCUGCAGGGUCCUCUCCCCUACAGACCCCUCAGGGAUACUGAGGCAGCCCCUCCCAUCUGGCUCAACUCGGCUUUGAAGCUGAGACCCCGACACCCCUCAGCAGGCACUGUCCUUUGAGUUAUCCUUCCAGGGGAGAUGGUUGGCUAUGCACAGUCAUUCAUUUCUUGCCAAAAUCUUUUUAUGUGUUUCUGGCCUGGGUUAAGGGGGAAAAAAAAGUGAAUGUGCUGGAAAAGAACCUUGUUUCAUGUUCUGUAUGAGUUCAUUAGCUCUGUCCUUAAAUCAAGUGAGAUAUCCAAUAAAGAAGGCUUUAGAUAAAACAUGAGGUGGUGAAUCCUGCCUCCUGGGCCCCCUCCCUGGGACUUUCUCUGUAGCACACCUGCCUCUUGGUGCCAUACCAGUUUCCUAAUAUUUCUACACUCUCUGCUUCUUUGUCUCUAUCAAAAUGUUCUCAAGGAAGGCUUUUAGAGAUCCAUGUCUACUCAGUGGUAAAGGACCAUUACUAACGUUACAGUAGGUAGUAUUGCAAUAGGGGAUAAAGCUUAAAGUCAAAGGAAUUAAUCUUUAAUUGUGAGAGUUUGAACAUCAAUGCCAAACUGAUGUUGGAUUGAGGAGAGGGUGGGGUGAGGGUGAGAUAGCCUCACCAUUAGUGAGAUAAUUAGAGCCUCAUUUCUCAUCAUGGACGUUGACCACUGACUCUGCUCCUGGAGAAGCCUGCUUCAGAACUAACCAGCAAACACCGAGGGCCUACACUGUGCUCAGCCCACUGAAAUGUGGCAUGGGGUGAAGUUUGUGAGCUCUAACCUGCUAACAUUUUUUCUUUACGGUAAGUCGCAGUUACUCAUUUAACCUCAUUUCAUGCUGAAUUUUAAGAGAAUUAAUUUUAAACAACUACACAUACUCUUUUCGGGACACUCCUGUUUGGAUAGGGUCAUACCUGAUCUCCUCUUUCCCCAAAGCUUCGACUUGGUAUCUGAUAUGGUUUGGCUUUGUGUCCCCGCCCAAUUCUCAUGUUAAAGUGUAAUCCCCAGUGUUGGAGGAGGGGCCUGGUGGGAGGUGAUUGGAUCAUGGAGGCAGAUUUCCUCCUUGCUGUUCUCAUGAUAGUGAGUGAGUUCUCACGAGAUCUGUUUGUUUAAAAGUGUGUAGCACUUCCCCCUUAGCUCUCUUUCUUCUGCUCCAGCCGUGUAAGAUGUGCUGCUUCCCUUCUGCCUUUACUGAAAGUUUCCCAAGCCCCCCCGCCCCCGAGUCAUGCUUCCUGUACAGCCUGCAGAAUCGUGAGCCAAUUUGACCUCUUUUCUUUAUAAAUUACCCAGUUUCAGGUAUUUCUUUACAGUAGUAUGAGAACAGACUAACACAAUAGCUGAUGCACAGGAUCCUGUCAUAGCCUUUGUGACCCCAUCAUGGGUUACCACUAGGGUCAGGCUUGCCCCCAGCCUCUGAGGCUGGUUCUGUCUCCCAAGGGGGAAUUUUCAUGAUGCUAACUCAGGACCCCUUUCAGCUUCCUACUCUGAGCAUAGGGCGACUAUGCUCUGCUGGGUCUUUGUGACUCAAUCUCUGCAGGAAUCCUUGUCAUGUUCCCUUGAGCGUGUUCCUGCCUGGCCCUCUGGGAGCCCCUCUCCCUAACCAGGUGGCACUUUCUAUUGCCAGGUGCUCAGGAUGCUGUCCUGUUUGCCCACAUCUCCUUUGCAUUUCCUCUCACCAUGUGUCUGUCUGGUCUCUGAGCCCCAGCCACCUCUGCAGUGGUUUAUGUGCAAGUUGAGACCAGAACCUGCAUCAGCCUGGUCCUGCACACCCAGCUGGAAAGAACCUGUGUGUUGGUUGAGUUCCCUCCACCACUCUCUCCUAUUGAUACCACCCAGCCCCAGUGAUGGCUGACAGCAUUUGCAAAAUAAGAAAUUGCUGGCUGGUGGACAGUUUAGGAGACCUAUUACAAAUGAACAGUAUCAAAGUAAUGAAGAUAUAAGUACCUUGUCCAUGAGGGAUGUAAGAAAUUAGUCUUCUAUAUCUUUGCAUCUAGUUUUUGCAUGUCAAUCAGUCGUACCUUUACAUAUUCAUUAAAAAACUUGGUCCAUGUGGGAAGAUUCAAUUAAAGUGUUUGAGUCAUUCACACUUGGAUUUGAAUAAAGAAGUUGGAAGAGUCCUUAAUAUCUGGAAAAUAUUCAAAUGUUUCCCUAAAGUUUUCAAAACUGUUUUGCUCAUGGAUUGGGAGCUCACUCACAAAUGGACCUCGGUGUUCACUUCCCAUUGGUCUGCUUCUACUAGUAGAGAAAAUCGGGCUUGUGUGGCAGUAAUUUGGCAAGUCAUGUCCUUCAUUCUCACUUCCAUGUUUGAAACACAGCUUCUCAGUUGUGUUGUGACUAAGACACAGUUUGGGGAGUUUAAUGGAUUCUGGGCUUCCUAGACAGGAAUCCAAUUCAUCAUUGAAAAGAUGAAGUAUACAAUUGAGAUGGAUCAGGGAGAGAACUUUGAUUACGUUCCAUUUGAAAUGUUUUUUUUUUGUUUUUUGCUAAACUUGUUAAAUAAUAACCCUGCUGUUCCAGAGGAAGUGAUACUUUACAAAAAGAAAUUCAUCUCAAAAAAAUUCAAAUGUAAUUAUAGUUGAGGAUUUGAAGUUUCCUGAUGGGAACAAAUCUGUAGAGUAAUUUGGGGAAAUGUGUGCAUUUCUAGCUAUAACCGGUGUUCCACUGGGUCUCUUAACGCAGGGGUCAAGACAUCUGCAAAGUGUCUUCAGAUGAGUCCUGGGAUGGGUCUCUGGGGGCUCUUGAGCAAGUCCACCCUGCACUGUGUGGCCCCAAUAUUUUCUCCCUCUUUUGCUCAGCAGUGGGGGCUCCCUUCCUGUGAAGCUCUCCAAGAUGCCCUGCACUGACUCGGGUGCUCCACAGCCACUGUCCGGCUCCCCAGGUGCUUGGCUCCCAUCUGCCUCCAUUCCUGCUGCAGAGGCCUGGAGUGCCCGGGAUGCUAGGGCCACUCUGCCUUCCAUGCUAAAGAAGGAAGAUGUCUCUGGUCCCUUUUGUCCCCAACAUUUUACACAUACAGAAGAAUGUAAAGAAUUAUACGGUGGUUCACAUAGCCAUAUGUAGACACAUCGCAGCUGUUGGCCCUCCGCUCUCUUUCCUUUCCACACAUCUGUGCAGCUACCCAUCCAUCCAGCUUAUUGUUUUUAGACUUUUCAACGUCAGCUGCAAACAUCGGUGCCUUUGUCCCCACACAUGUCAUUAACUGGAGUCCAAUAUUUGUUGAUGUUCUUUUGUGUUCCGUCAGCUGUACUGCCUUGAAUGUUGAUGUUUGGAGUUUUAAGAGAAAGAAGCUCAUUCAUCUUCAACCAUAACCCCUAAGCCCCUGUUCCCACCUCCAUCUCUCCUCAGGAAUCAGAUGGGGGUGGUUCUGGGCCAGAGACAAAUCUAAGGCAAAGAAUUGCCGUUUCUCUUACAUGGCAGAGGAGUGGCUGCUGGGUGAGGAGCGGCUGCUGGGUGAGGAGCGGCUGCUGGGUGAGGAGCGGCUGCUGGGUGAGGAGCGGCUGCUGGGUGAGGAGCGGCUGCUGGAUAAGCAGCCCUUUCUGGCUCUCUCUCCAGGUGAGGUGAAUCAUCUCUUUGGAGGCUCCCUGAGCUCUCAGUUUAAUUACAGUUGACCCUUGAACAACAUGGGUUUGAACUACACGGGUCCACUUAUAUGCAGAUUUUUUUCCAUCUUUCCUGCCACCCCUGAGACAGCAAGACCAACUCCUCCUCUUCCUCAGCCUACUCAACAUGAAGACGACUAGGAUGAAUUCCUUGAUGAUGAUCCACUUUUUUCCACUUAAUAAAUAGUAAAUAAAGUUUCUCUUCUUUGUGAUUUUCUUAAUAACAUUUUCUUUUCUCUGGCUUACUUUAUGGUAAGAAUAAAGAAUGUAAAACAUAUAACCUACAAAAUAUAUGUGAAUUGACUGUUUUUGUCAUCAGUAAGGCUUCCAGUCAACAGUAGACUAUUAGUAAAGUUUUUUCAGAAUCAGAAGUUGUACGUGGAUUUUUGACUGCACGCCUGUAAGCUCUGUGUUGUUCAAGGGUCUACUGCCAUUGUAAGUCUUGUCUCUACAAAUGGUUUAGGAAUUUUUAGUAGAUAGAAGCCUCAUGCUGUGUUACUUUUGUGCCUUUCAUAGAAAAUUGUAACAUUGGCCUAUUUUACCGUCUCUGUUUUAUGCAAACUACUGGUGUGUGCUACUCACAUAAAAAAUGAUAAUACCAGAUGAUUAGCACCUGGAUCACUAAAUUUUAGUUAAUGAUAUUAGGAAUUGGUGGAUCACCAGCUGGGUGUGUAACCUUGGGCAGUCCCUAAGCCUCUCCAAGUCUCAGUUUUACAUCUGUAAAAUGGGAAGCAUAAUGUAUGUUGAAGUUUACUGAGGGUUAAAUGAAAUGAUUCAUGUAAAGCACUUAGUCCAUAUCCAGCACAUACUAAAAAAAAAUUAGUUAUUAUUACCGUAAUGAAUGUUGCCUGUACAUCUUUGUGAGCCUCAAAAAGUUUUAGCAGGAAGCAAAAUUUGCAUUAGGUCAUAUUGUAUUUGCAGAUGCCCAUCCCCUUCUCAUUGAUGCUCCCCUGGAACUUCCUAUUACAAUGCAAAGGGAAUACAAGUUCAUUGCAAGAAGUAAAACCUCAUGGAGAUCCUCCAAAAUUCCGAUUCCCAUGAAUAUCUUACAGAAAGAAAAUAGAAAUGACUGACCAAGUUGAAGCAGUUUAUUUAUUGCCAACUUCUGGAUUUUCUUCACAUUCUGUUCACUAGGAUGAACAUGUUCCAGUUUGUAUGGUUGUUUUAAAUACUGAUCAGCCUUCAUUUCAUUUAUUAAUGUCAGGUGCAACUAAGCUGCCUUAAGCAAAUAAAGUGCUCGUUCCUUCCAGACCCUCCUCUUAAGCUUAAUAUGUUCCAUAUUCCCUGUUUAUUUUCUCGCUGACAUGAGUGUCCCCAGUUUUGCUGCCAGGCAAGAACUGAAGGUAAGAGAAGGCUGCAGACAGUGGUUGGUAUGAGAUGGCCAUGCAUCGCUCGGUUGAGGGUUUAUCUGAUUAUAAUGCAUGGUUUGUGCAGACAUUUCAAGGGUUGCAGCAGAAAAUCCAUCACUGUUGUUAGUAUGAAGGGGAAUCUGUAAAAACAUCAUUUGUCUAAAAAGAGAGAGAGCAAGCUCUGGCAAGUGUUGGGGUGGGGAAUGUGCUUUUUCUUUCUGUGUUUGUAACCUGUAGAAACACCAGGGCCUCUUGGAUAGGCUCAAAAAGAGCCCUGUCUGGCCUGUGGCACUUUGGAAGAAAACCCACACAGAGAAACGUACAGAGGAAACUAUU